ensembl:lncRNA
UUUGUCUUUUCAAGAAACCAUUACAUGUGAAAAAACAGAAUUUUGCUGGAAGUGAAGCAGAAGUGACUAUGAAAAAAGAAGAAAGUUAAUGGGAUUCACUUUGACUGCCUUCUGUAUUUCUUAACGAUAUAUACCACACAAACUGUACAGAAACUUAAAGAGAUUAUUAAAAUAAUUACAGGUUAUCUCGGCUGGGGUAAGGAGCGUGAGAGAGAGGAGAGGAAAAACAAUGAUAACAAAGACCGUGAAACAAAGACAACAAAAAAGAAGGAAACACAGCAGGGGAGUACGGUUGCCUUACAUGGAGGUUUAAUGCCAGUUCAAUACCAAAAUCUCUAUUAACAUAACAACUAAACCCAUAUCAUCAGCUGCCUUUCAGCUAUAACUAAGCAGACUCCCCGCUCCAAGGCUCAUCUAUCACCUCUCCUCAUACUGAUGUAAAGAAAGAUUUCCAAGAUACCCAUGACUUUAAAUUUUUAUGUUGGGUGUGAAAAAAGCAACAUGAAGCUCUGAAGGAUACAGCUUGCUAAAGAGUGUUAAGUGUUCCUUUGCAAGAUAUUUUCCUGCUCUUUUAGAAACAAGAUUCACAAGCAUUCUCUGGGACUUGAGCUGUUUAACUUCAUCAAACAGUUAAAGACUGGGUCCCCAAGUUUGUCUGUAAAGGCAGGAACAGUUACAGAGAAAGUGACAGCAGAAGAAAUGCUUCCACCAGAAGGAGGCUGUUUUGGUUACAACUCUGCAUUCCAGAAACGAACUCUUUGAAGCAGUUAUGUAAAACUGAAUGGUGUAAAAAAGGUGACUGUGAAUCAAUUCUGUACUGUCUUUUCCAUAGAUUGGUAGUUCAGAAUAAGUGAAGGCGAUUAUUUAUGCAGAGGAAUUUGGUGCUACAGGGAACAGGAGACAAGACAUAUUGACUGUCAGCCAAUGCUGAAGACAGCAAACAGCAUUGAAUUUUUGGAUGGAUUUUCAAUAUAGCUCAUUAUAGCAGUUAUUAUGACCAUAUAGUUGCAGCACUCAAUUUUUGCAAGCUGUAUGUACAUUAGGAGUACCCUAAUCACAUGUGAAAAGCCUUUGCACAACACUGCUGUACCUUCUUGGGUUAGGUUCCUGUCUUGAUUUACUGGUAAUAGCCUGAACAGCUUCCUGUGCAUCCUUACUGACAUGUCAGUCAGGCUGCUCUCUGGUCUCCAUUCACUGCACUGGCAUGUGAAGAAAUUAUGUGAGUAUGUGAGGAAUGCCAUAGAUCAGACAGGAGACCUGGCAUCCUGUAGGAGCAUCUGAAAUCCAAAAUUAUCUCAGAUGACACUAUAUACCAAUUUAUAGAAUACUGUGCCUCUCCUUUCAUACAAAUAUUGUACUGACUAUGGUGAGAGUUUAGACAGGUAGGCAGUUGAUCUUGAGUUAAAUUCUCAGCUAAGUCUUUGGUACAGUGCAUGAAACUUCUAUAAAAAUUUCAAAAAAAAUUAUUUCUUUUUCUGGAGUGCUUUGAGUUCUUGGUUGAGCCCUGUUUGUUUUUGUGCCAACAUCUCUUUCCCCGCAGAUCAUAUAUUCUCUGGUCUACUUGUUUUUCAUUCUGUUGCUUGAAUAAGUAUUGAGCUAUGGUUGUGAGAAUGAACAUUUAUGAUUGGGGGUGAGAAGGUAAAAGCACCAGGAAUGAAGAAAGAGAGAGACAGAUAUCUGAUGCAUUUUCAUCAUACAUCCUCCUUUCUCUCAGUGUACUCUAUCUUACCUUUGUGAUGUGCUUGCCAGAAGGACUCCAGUUUUAAUGGUCUUUAAGGCAUCUGGGUGUGUACCCAGGACACAUGGGAACUUAAGGUGAUUCGUGAAUCCAGGAAAAAGUGACAGGCCUAGGUUAUUUGAGCACACUGUGACAGGACAAGAGUUGAAGAUUGCCUGACCCAACCUGGAGCUCUAACCACUUCUUUAUUCUUCCUUGGCACAUACUUGCUGAAAUUAUAUUUAUUUUAAAAGUUCAUUAUUAUCAUAGAACUGCUCAACAUGGAUAUAAGUGAUAUCUCCUUGGGAUAGCUUGCAGUUUAACCUCCUUUCUUUAUAAAUUCAUAUACAAAUUCAUGUCAUUUAAUCAACACUUUGCAAGACUACGUAAAUACUCAAUGUACAAACUGUGCACCUUCUUCUUGAUUGCAACGAUAUUUUUAAAAUUCAUAUAAAUAAUUAUGUUAAUUAAAUCAUUCAAUGCCAGCCUCGUAUUGGAAAGGCUGAACAUAGCUGAAUAAUUGCCUGGUAGGCACUCACAAAACAGCUUGAGG